rnacentral:rRNA from 1 species
UACGGAGGGAGCUAGCGUUGUUCGGAAUUACUGGGCGUAAAGCGCGCGUAGGCGGCUUUGUAAGUUAGAGGUGAAAGCCCGGAGCUCAACUCCGGGACUGCCUUUAAAACUGCAUCGCUUGAAUCCAGGAGAGGUGAGUGGAAUUCCGAGUGUAGAGGUGAAAUUCGUAGAUAUUCGGAAGAACACCAGUGGCGAAGGCGGCUCACUGGACUGGUAUUGACGCUGAGGUGCGAAAGCGUGGGGAGCAAACAGG